rnacentral:tRNA from 1 species
AGGUAGCUCAGUGGAUAGAGUGCCUAGCUUUGAACUGGGAGGUUCUGGGUUCAAAUCUGGCCU